UACGAGUGCGUCGAGCGUUAUCCGGAAUCAUUGGGCGUAAAGGGUGUGUAGGUGGCGUUGUUAGUCUCCUGUUAAAUUCCUCGGCUCAAACGGGGGCGUGCGGGAGAAACGGCAAUGCUUGAGGUUGGUAGGGGUUUCUGGAACUCUAAGUGUAGCGGUGAAAUGCGCAGAUAUCAGGAGGAACACCGGUGGCGAAGGCGGGUCCCUGGGCCGAUACUGACGCUGAGGAGCGAAAGCGUGGGGAGCGAACAGG
rnacentral:rRNA from 1 species